rnacentral:rRNA from 1 species
UACGUAGGGGGCAAGCGUUGUCCGGAUUUAUUGGGCGUAAAGAGCGUGUAGGCGGCCAUGCAGGUCAGCUGUGAAAACUCGAGGCUCAACCUCGAGACGUCGGUUGAAACCGUAUGGCUAGAGUCCGGAAGAGGAGAGUGGAAUUCCCGGUGUAGCGGUGAAAUGCGCAGAUAUCAGGAGGAACACCGAUGGCGAAGGCAGGUCUCUGGGCCGAUACUGACGCUGAGGAGCGAAAGCGUGGGGAGCGAACAGG